GGACGGCUGACCGAGAAGACGGCAAGAAGCAGGGGCGGCCAGCUGGCGGGGCCCCGCCUCCGGCACGCGACUCGCUGAAUUCAGAAGGGGACCUUUGCCAGCCAAUAUUUCGGGAACCACAGCACCGAUUAUAAUUCUAAAGCGCUUGGUGCUUUGGGGCGAGGAUUGGAGAACCGAGCUAGCGUUUAUGUAUAGUUAUACAUUAUUACUCAUUGAAUCGCGCAUAAAAGUUCGCACGAUAGCUAUGUUGUGGGCAUAGAUCACAUGACCGCAUCUCCAUGGUAACACACGGUGCACGUGAUAUACGAAUCACGUGAGGUGCAGCGGAG